rnacentral:rRNA from 1 species
CUGAGGCUCGAAAGUGUGGGUAGCAAACAGGAUUAGAUACCCUGGUAGUCCACACUGUAAACGAUGAUUACUAGGUGUUGGAGGAUUGACCCCUUCAGUGCCGCAGUUAACACAAUAAGUAAUCCACCUGGGGAGUACGACCGCAAGGUUGAAACUCAAAGGAAUUGACGGGGGCCCGCACAAGCAGUGGAGUAUGUGGUUUAAUUCGACGCAACGCGAAGAACCUUACCAAGUCUUGACAUCCUGCGACGGUGCUGGAAACAGUACUUUCCUUCGGGACGCAGAGACAGGUGGUGCAUGGUUGUCGUCAGCUCGUGUCGUGAGAUGUUGGGUUAAGUCCCGCAACGAGCGCAACCCUUAUGGUCAGUUACUACGCAAGAGGACUCUGGCCAGACUGCCGUUGACAAAACGGAGGAAGGUGGGGAUGACGUCAAAUCAUCAUGCCCUUUAUGACUUGGGCUACACACGUACUACAAUGGCGUUAAACAAAGAGAAGCAAGACCGCGAGGUGGAGCAAAACUCAGAAACAACGUCCCAGUUCGGACUGCAGGCUGCAACUCGCCUGCACGAAGUCGGAAUUGCUAGUAAUCGCAGAUCAGCAUGCUGCGGUGAAUACGUUCCCGGGCCUUGUACACACCGCCCGUCACACCAUGAGAGCCGGGGGGACCCGAAGUCGGUAGUCUAACCGCAAGGAGGACGCCGCCGAAGGUAAAACUGGUGAUUGGGGUGAAGUCGUAACAAGGUAGCCGUAGGAGAACCUGCGGCUG